AGGCGUGCUCCGGGGUGCGAUCCUGCCGUGAUGGCGGGAUGGCUGAGAUGGUGAAGCCGAACCCGCGAACUUGACUCGGAUCAUGCCGACGUAAGAAGAGCUGUCAGGAACAAG
rnacentral:ncRNA from 1 species